GGGUUGUGAGGUUAAGCGACUAAGCGUACACGGUGGAUGCCCUGGCAGUCAGAGGCGAUGAAGGACGUGCUAAUCUGCGAUAAGCGUCGGUAAGGUGAUAUGAACCGUUAUAACCGGCGAUUUCCGAAUGGGGAAACCCAGUGUGUUUCGACACACUAUCAUUAACUGAAUCCAUAGGUUAAUGAGGCGAACCGGGGGAACUGAAACAUCUAAGUACCCCGAGGAAAAGAAAUCAACCGAGAUUCCCCCAGUAGCGGCGAGCGAACGGGGAGCAGCCCAGAGCCUGAAUCAGUGUGUGUGUUAGUGGAAGCGUCUGGAAAGGCGCGCGAUACAGGGUGACAGCCCCGUACACAAAAAUGCACAUGCUGUGAGCUCGAUGAGUAGGGCGGGACACGUGGUAUCCUGCCUGAAUAUGGGGGGACCAUCCUCCAAGGCUAAAUACUCCUGACUGACCGAUAGUGAACCAGUACCGUGAGGGAAAGGCGAAAAGAACCCCGGCGAGGGGAGUGAAAAAGAACCUGAAACCGUGUACGUACAAGCAGUGGGAGCACGCUUAGGCGUGUGACUGCGUACCUUUUGUAUAAUGGGUCAGCGACUUAUAUUCUGUAGCAAGGUUAACCGAAUAGGGGAGCCGAAGGGAAACCGAGUCUUAACUGGGCGUUAAGUUGCAGGGUAUAGACCCCAAACCCGGUGAUCUAGCCAUGGGCAGGUUGAAGGUUGGGUAAUACUAACUGGAGGACCGUACCGAUUAAUGUAGAAAAAGUAGCGGAUGACUUGUGGCUGGGUGUGAAAGGCCAAUCAAACCGGGAGAUAGCUGGUUCUCCCCGAAAGCUAUUUAGGUAGCGCCUCGUGAAUUCAUCUCCGGGGGUAGAGCACUGUUUCGGCAAGGGGGUCAUCCCGACUUACCAACCCGAUGCAAACUGCGAAUACCGGAGAAUGUUAUCACGGGAGACACACGGCGGGUGCUAACGUCCGUCGUGAAGAGGGAAACAACCCAGACCGCCAGCUAAGGUCCCAAAGUCAUGGUUAAGUGGGAAACGAUGUGGGAAGGCCCAGACAGCCAGGAUGUUGGCUUAGAAGCAGCCAUCAUUUAAAGAAAGCGUAAUAGCUCACUGGUCGAGUCGGCCUGCGCGGAAGAUGUAACGGGGCUAAACCAUGCACCGAAGCUGCGGCAGCGACACUAUGUGUUGUUGGGUAGGGGAGCGUUCUGUAAGCCUGUGAAGGUGUGCUGUGAGGCAUGCUGGAGGUAUCAGAAGUGCGAAUGCUGACAUAAGUAACGAUAAAGCGGGUGAAAAGCCCGCUCGCCGGAAGACCAAGGGUUCCUGUCCAACGUUAAUCGGGGCAGGGUGAGUCGACCCCUAAGGCGAGGCCGAAAGGCGUAGUCGAUGGGAAACAGGUUAAUAUUCCUGUACUUGGUGUUACUGCGAAGGGGGGACGGAGAAGGCUAUGUUGGCCGGGCGACGGUUGUCCCGGUUUAAGCGUGUAGGCUGGUUUUCCAGGCAAAUCCGGAAAAUCAAGGCUGAGGCGUGAUGACGAGGCACUACGGUGCUGAAGCAACAAAUGCCCUGCUUCCAGGAAAAGCCUCUAAGCAUCAGGUAACAUCAAAUCGUACCCCAAACCGACACAGGUGGUCAGGUAGAGAAUACCAAGGCGCUUGAGAGAACUCGGGUGAAGGAACUAGGCAAAAUGGUGCCGUAACUUCGGGAGAAGGCACGCUGAUAUGUAGGUGAAGUCCCUCGCGGAUGGAGCUGAAAUCAGUCGAAGAUACCAGCUGGCUGCAACUGUUUAUUAAAAACACAGCACUGUGCAAACACGAAAGUGGACGUAUACGGUGUGACGCCUGCCCGGUGCCGGAAGGUUAAUUGAUGGGGUUAGCCGCAAGGCGAAGCUCUUGAUCGAAGCCCCGGUAAACGGCGGCCGUAACUAUAACGGUCCUAAGGUAGCGAAAUUCCUUGUCGGGUAAGUUCCGACCUGCACGAAUGGCGUAAUGAUGGCCAGGCUGUCUCCACCCGAGACUCAGUGAAAUUGAACUCGCUGUGAAGAUGCAGUGUACCCGCGGCAAGACGGAAAGACCCCGUGAACCUUUACUAUAGCUUGACACUGAACAUUGAGCCUUGAUGUGUAGGAUAGGUGGGAGGCUUAGAAGUGUGGACGCCAGUCUGCAUGGAGCCGACCUUGAAAUACCACCCUUUAAUGUUUGAUGUUCUAACGUUGACCCGUAAUCCGGGUUGCGGACAGUGUCUGGUGGGUAGUUUGACUGGGGCGGUCUCCUCCUAAAGAGUAACGGAGGAGCACGAAGGUUGGCUAAUCCUGGUCGGACAUCAGGAGGUUAGUGCAAUGGCAUAAGCCAGCUUGACUGCGAGCGUGACGGCGCGAGCAGGUGCGAAAGCAGGUCAUAGUGAUCCGGUGGUUCUGAAUGGAAGGGCCAUCGCUCAACGGAUAAAAGGUACUCCGGGGAUAACAGGCUGAUACCGCCCAAGAGUUCAUAUCGACGGCGGUGUUUGGCACCUCGAUGUCGGCUCAUCACAUCCUGGGGCUGAAGUAGGUCCCAAGGGUAUGGCUGUUCGCCAUUUAAAGUGGUACGCGAGCUGGGUUUAGAACGUCGUGAGACAGUUCGGUCCCUAUCUGCCGUGGGCGCUGGAGAACUGAGGGGGGCUGCUCCUAGUACGAGAGGACCGGAGUGGACGCAUCACUGGUGUUCGGGUUGUCAUGCCAAUGGCACUGCCCGGUAGCUAAAUGCGGAAGAGAUAAGUGCUGAAAGCAUCUAAGCACGAAACUUGCCCCGAGAUGAGUUCUCCCUGACCCUUUAAGGGUCCUGAAGGAACGUUGAAGACGACGACGUUGAUAGGCCGGGUGUGUAAGCGCAGCGAUGCGUUGAGCUAACCGGUACUAAUGAACCGUGAGGCUUAACCUUACAACGCCGAAGCUGUU
rnacentral:rRNA from 1 species